rnacentral:rRNA from 1 species
UACAGAGAGUGCAAGCGUUAAUCGGAAUUACUGGGCGUAAAGCGCACGUAGGUGGAUAUUUAAGUCGAAUGUGAAAGCCCUGGGCUUAACCUAGGAAUUGCAUCCGAUACUGAAUAUCUAGAGUAUGGUAGAGGGAAGUGGAAUUUCCGGUGUAGCGGUGAAAUGCGUAGAUAUCGGAAGGAACACCAGUGGCGAAAGAGGCUUCCUGGACCAAUACUGACUUUCAGGUGCGAAAGCGUGGGGAGCAAACAGG